rnacentral:rRNA from 1 species
GUUGAACGCUGGCGGCAUGCCUAACACAUGCAAGUCGAGCGGACAGACGGGGCGUUCGCUUCGCUGCCGUUAGCGGCGGACGGGUGAGUACUACGAGUCUGCCCUGCAUAUAGGGCUGAGGUCCGUUAGGGAGCGCUGAUCCCAUAUCCGUCCAUAUAUUGAAACGGAUGGAUCUUUAGUCCUCACGCUUUUUGCUGAGCCUAAUAGGUGUUUCCGAGUCGGAUUAGCUAGUUGGUACGGUAACGACUUACCAAGGCUACGAUGCGUAGCCGACCUGAGAGGAUGAUCAGCCACACUGGAACUGAGACACGGUCCAGACUCCUACGGGAGGCAGCAGUAGGGAAUCUUCCGCAAUGGGCGAAAGCCUGACGGAGCAACGCCGCGUGUGUGAUGAAGGUCUUCGGAUCGUAAAGCACUUUUAGUAGGGAAGAAGAAAAGUAUGAGUAACUCUUCACGUCUUGACGGUACCAAAAGAAAAAGCCACGGCUAACUACGUG